GCCAGCAGCCAUGUCACCCUGUAACUCACAACUGGCAACCCACUGAUAAUAAGUAGGUUUGGGCCUUGUCAGUACCUGGAUGGGAGACCUCCCAGGAAAAAUUAAGGUUUCUGCUGGAA
rnacentral:rRNA from 1 species